CUUCCCCUUUUUUUCUAUAUCGUAAGUUCUUAACCAUCAUAAGCUCUGAGAAGUAAUAGACUCCCGCCCUUUGUGGAUUUCUAGGGUUUAAUAUCACAUUUGUGGAUUUCUAGGGUUUAUUCGCUGAGGCGGUCAACUCACUUCUUUUCGAGGACAGAUGGUUUAUGACUGCGCUCGGAUCAAUUCUGUAAUUCGUUAUAUGUCUCUUUGACGUCAAUUGAUUGCGUAUAAUUUAGGCUGCGUUUAUUUAUCUGCUUCGAGAUUAUUGAUUUCUAAAUCCAAGGGCUUGUUUUCGUUUACGAUGCUUGAACGGAAGCUCUACAAAACCAAGCUUUGCAUACUUUAUCAGAGAGGCCGCUGUCCCCGUGAAAGCUGCUCAUUUGCCCAUGGCGAUGCGGAGCUUAGGCGGCUUUCUGGUUCCUUCAUUGUAAGUUCUGCAGUACAUGUUAUGGUGGAGCACAUGGUAUUGACAUCAUCUAUGAGUCCUCAGUCCUCCUUGAGUAAUAUGGGAAAGGAUUUCUUUGAUGGUGAUAUAGCACAGAUGAUUACCAUUGGAAGAUGUGGUCUUGGAGGGCCAAAUUUUAUUGGAUGGGAGAUGCCUUUAUAUAUUAUAUGUAGUUUAUGGCGCUGGGAAGAAAUCUGUACCAUUCAGGUUUCAUUGUUUUUCUUAUUGCUCAAGAAGGCAGGCGUAUCAUCCAUCCUUAUUAUAUGCUUCUUUGAUAUUCAAAGGGUUUUCUCAAUGGUAUGAUCAAACACAGUUAUAGACAUAUCAAUGUAUUUUUAUGAGAGCGUUUAUUUCCAUGGCCCCUUUGGAACUGGCAAGGAGACACUGUUACUGUUCAUUAUUUUCUCAUAUUGCUCCAUGUGAUGGUCGGAGGGACUAUGUAGAUAGUGAUUUGAGGGAUAAGCUUGACAGAAGGCAUUCUCCCCAGCGAAGAUACUCCCCAAGGAGAGAUGCAAGAGGCCAUCAAACAUUUCGGAGUCAGAAACGUGUUCCCUAUAAUAGGGGAUACAGUCAGUCAAGAUCCCCCUCUGAAAGGAGGUAAACAACUUUUAAGUCCUUGAAAUUCUUCUUUCUGUUAUACAUUCAUGUAAAAUAGAUAUUCUUUUGGCCAUUGUUUUCCCAAACUCCCAAACCACUCCAUGAAAGAUACCUAUUGAAUGGCUGAUGAUAAUAUUUUGUCCAUUGUUCCCCAAACCAUCCAAUGGGAAAGAUACCUUUGCUUGUACUUCAAUGAUUUUUUUUUUUUUUUGGGGGUGGGAGAGGGGGUCGGGGUGGUUCUGCUUGAAAGAUGAAACAUGGCUGACUCCAACUUCACUUUGUUCAUGGUUAUCUAGGGCACUUUUUUGUCACUUGUUUGGAGUGAUUUUGAGGAAAUUUUGAUUCCCUGGAGUGGUUCUGCCUAAAAUUUGGUUUGGCACAAAUUCUGUUCUUUGUAGUGGUGCUUUGAUCUUUUUUCCUCUUUUGGAGUGGUUUUGUUCGAACAAAAAAUUUCUCAUUCUAGGAAACCAUCUGUUAUUUUUCCUGGGGGUCGGAGCAUUUACUGCAAGUACUUGUUUUCUACGACAGUCACUUGUAAGAAUUGAUUUAAAUGUUUUUUAGAAAAGCCAUGAUGAAAAACCAGAAGUGAUACUGAAUGCAGGUUACAGUUACCACUUACCAAUGAACUAUCAGUAUUUCCAUGUAAGAUUCUUGAAGAUUUUGGAAGGAACUGGAAUGGUUCUUGGUUGUUUGCAUUUAGCGAUUGAUUUGUUUAUAAAUGUUCAUUAACUCAUUUGAAUCCAAUUUUUUGUUAUUAUUAUUAUUAUUAUUAUUAUUUUAGGUUUCUUGUAAUAAAUAGUGUUUUAAAAAGGGCAAGUAGGAUGUUAUCACAAAUGAAAAAAAAAGUGCAGUGCUACAAACAAACAAAAUUCACAAGGCCAUUGCCUGUUGGUGGUAUACAUGUAAUUCUUCAUGGCUUUCCAGCAGACAUGUGGAAAGGAGUUUGAUACAUGUUGAGGAUUUAAUUCCACAUUGUUGACGUAGCUUGGGAUGAAAAUUUCAUAACCUUACCAUCGUGUUGUAAGGUGGGUUAUGAAAAAUUAUGUUGAAUUAUCAGAGACAAUUGAUACAAGAAACAGAAUGUAAAGAUUCUAGAGGCUGAAAA